rnacentral:rRNA from 1 species
UACGGAGGGUGCAAGCGUUGUCCGAAUCACUGGGCGUAAAGGGCGCGUAGGCGGCUCAUGAAGGCUGAGUGGAGAACCGGGGCUCAACCUCGGAUCGGCCGUGGCGACUCGUGGGCUGGAGCACUGUAGAGGCGGUGGAAUCCGGGUGUAGCGGUGGAAUGCGUAGAUAUCAUUUGGAACGCCAAUGGUGAAACAGGUAGCUGGGGCUGUGCUG